GCAGCAGGGGUGUAGCAAUACACUCGCUGGCGACCGGCAAACGGGUGCGGAACACGUACGCAAUCUACCCAAAACUGGUGAAUAGCCCUCCGAAAGGAGGAUUAAUACACCGUAACUUAAUGAAGUGGCAUCACUUUAUUAAUAUAGCUCCGGCGGUUUUGGAUGAGCGUGCGGCUGAUUAGGUAGUUGGCGGGGUAACGGCCCACCAAGCCUGCGAUCAGUAACUGGUGUGAGAGCACGACCAGUCACACGGGCACUGAGACACGGGCCCGACUCCUACGGGAGGCAGCAGUAAGGAAUAUUGGUCAAUGGACGCAAGUCUGAACCAGCCAUGCCGCGUGGAGGAUGAAGGCCCUCUGGGUUGUAAACUUCUUUUAUAGGGGACGAAACCUUUUUUUCUAAAGAGACUGACGGUACCCUAGGAAUAAGCACCGGCUAACUCCGUGCCAGCAGCCGCGGUAAUACGGAGGGUGCAAGCGUUA
rnacentral:rRNA from 1 species